rnacentral:rRNA from 1 species
UGGGGAAUCUUAGACAAUGGGGGCAACCCUGAUCUAGCCAUGCCGCGUGAGUGAUGAAGGCCUUCGGGUUGUAAAGCUCUUUCAGCUGGGAAGAUAAUGACGGUACCAGCAGAAGAAGCCCCGGCUAACUCCGUGCCAGCAGCCGCGGUAAUACGGAGGGGGCUAGCGUUGUUCGGAAUUACUGGGCGUAAAGCGCACGUAGGCGGACCGGAAAGUUGGGGGUGAAAUCCCGGGGCUCAACCUCGGAACUGCCUUCAAAACUAUCGGUCUGGAGUUCGAGAGAGGUGAGUGGAAUUCCGAGUGUAGAGGUGAAAUUCGUAGAUAUUCGGAGGAACACCAGUGGCGAAGGCGGCUCACUGGCUCGAUACUGACGCUGAGGUGCGAAAGCGUGGGGAGCAAACAGG